GACGAACGCUGGCGGCGUGCCUAAUACAUGCAAGUCGAGCGCAGGAAAUCGACGGAACCCUUCGGGGGGAAGUCGACGGAAUGAGCGGCGGACGGUUGAGUAACACGUAAAGAACCUGCCCUCAGGUCUGGGAUAACCACGAGAAAUCGGGGCUAAUACCGGAUGGGUCAUCGGACCGCAUGGUCCGAGGAUGAAAGGCGCUUCGGCGUCGCCUGGGGAUGGCUUUGCGGUGCAUUAGCUAGUUGGUGGGGUAAUGGCCCACCAAGGCGACGAUGCAUAGCCGCCCUGAGAGGGUGAUCGGCCACACUGGGACUGAGACACGGCCCAGACUCCUACGGGAGGCAGCAGUAGGGAAUCUUCCACAUUGGACAAAAGUCUGAUGGAGCAACGCCGCGUGAACGAUGAAGGCCUUCGGGACGUAAAGUUCUGUUGUAAGGGAAGAACAAGUGCCGCAGGCAAUGGCGGCACCUUGACGGUACCUUGCGAGAAAGCCACGGCUAACUACGUGCCAGCCGCCGCCGUAA
rnacentral:rRNA from 1 species